rnacentral:rRNA from 1 species
ACGGGUGAGUAAUGUCUGGGGAUCUGCCCGAUAGAGGGGGAUAACCACUGGAAACGGUGGCUAAUACCGCAUAACGUCGCAAGACCAAAGAGGGGGGCCUUCGGGCCUCUCACUAUCGGAUGAACCCAGAUGGGAUUAGCUAGUAGGCGGGGUAACGGCCCACCUAGGCGACGAUCCCUAGCUGGUCUGAGAGGAUGACCAGCCACACUGGAACUGAGACACGGUCCAGACUCCUACGGGAGGCAGCAGUGGGGAAUAUUGCACAAUGGGCGCAAGCCUGAUGCAGCCAUGCCGCGUGUAUGAAGAAGGCCUUCGGGUUGUAAAGUACUUUCAGCGGGGAGGAAGGCGAUAAGGUUAAUAACCUUGUCGAUUGACGUUACCCGCAGAAGAAGCACCGGCUAACUCCGUGCCAGCAGCCGCGGUAAUACGGAGGGUGCAAGCGUUAAUCGGAAUUACUGGGCGUAAAGCGCACGCAGGCGGUCUGUUAAGUCAGAUGUGAAAUCCCCGGGCUUAACCUGGGAACUGCAUUUGAAACUGGCAGGCUUGAGUCUCGUAGAGGGGGGUAGAAUUCCAGGUGUAGC